UACAGAGGGUGCGAGCGUUAAUCGGAAUUACUGGGCGUAAAGCGUGCGUAGACGGUAGCGUAAGUCAGAUGUGAAAGCCCCGGGCUCAACCUGGGAACUGCAUUUGAGACUGCUCUGCUCGGGUGCGGAAGAGGGAAGCGGAAUUUCCGGUGUAGCGGUGAAAUGCGUAGAUAUCGGAAGGAACACCGAUGGCGAAAGCAGCGUGCUGGACCUUUUCUGACGCUGAGGCGCGAAAGCCAGGGGAGCAAACGGG
rnacentral:rRNA from 1 species